rnacentral:ncRNA from 3 species
AACGAACGCAAUUUCAUAACUCGUAUAAUCAUGGGGAUAUGGCCCAUAAGUUUCUACCGGAUGACCAAUGCAAUCGUCCGACUAUGAGUGAGAACGCCUUUUUU